rnacentral:rRNA from 1 species
AUUGAACGCUGGCGGCAGGCCUAACACAUGCAAGUCGAGCGGAUGAGUGGAGCUUGCUCCAUGAUUCAGCGGCGGACGGGUGAGUAAUGCCUAGGAAUCUGCCUGGUAGUGGGGGACAACGUUUCGAAAGGAACGCUAAUACCGCAGACGUCCUACGGGAGAAAGUGGGGGAUCUUCGGACCUCACGCUAUCAGAUGAGCCUAGGUCGGAUUAGCUAGUUGGUGGGGUAAAGGCUCACCAAGGCUACGAUCCGUAACUGGUCUGAGAGGAUGAUCAGUCACACUGGAACUGAGACACGGUCCAGACUCCUACGGGAGGCAGCAGUGGGGAAUAUUGGACAAUGGGCGAAAGCCUGAUCCAGCCAUGCCGCGUGUGUGAAGAAGGUCUUCGGAUUGUAAAGCACUUUAAGUUGGGAGGAAGGGCAGUAAGUUAAUACCUUGCUGUUUUGACGUUACCAACAGAAUAAGCACCGGCUAACUUCGUGCCAGCAGCCGCGGUAAGAC